UGGGGAAUAUUGCGCAAUGGGGGAAACCCUGACGCAGCAACGCCGCGUGAAGGAUGAAGGUUUUCGGAUUGUAAACUUCUUUGAUGAGGGACGAUAAUGACGGUACCUCAAAAACAAGCCACGGCUAACUACGUGCCAGCAGCCGCGGUAAUACGUAGGUGGCAAGCGUUGUCCGGAAUUACUGGGUGUAAAGGGCGUGUAGGCGGGGCGGCAAGUCAGAUGUGAAAUACCGUGGCUUAACUGCGGGGGUGCAUCUGAAACUGUUUUUCUUGAGUGUCGGAGAGGAAAGCGGAAUUCCUAGUGUAGCGGUGAAAUGCGUAGAUAUUAGGAGGAACACCAGUGGCGAAGGCGGCUUUCUGGACGACAACUGACGCUGAGGCGCGAAAGCGUGGGGAGCAAACAGG
rnacentral:rRNA from 2 species